rnacentral:rRNA from 1 species
GACGUAGGGCGCGAGCGUUGUCCGGAUUUAUUGGGCGUAAAGAGCUCGUAGGCGGCUUGUCGCGUCGACUGUGAAAACCCGCGGCUCAACCGUGUGGUCUGCAGUCGAUACGGGCAGGCUAGAGUUCGGUAGGGGAGACUGGAAUUCCUGGUGUAGCGGUGAAAUGCGCAGAUAUCAGGAGGAACACCGGUGGCGAAGGCGGCAUCCUGGACCAACACUGACACUGAUGAGCGAAAGCCAGGGGAGCAAACGGG